GGCGGCGGCGCGCGCGCCGGGUUGUGUGCGUGCGGGAGCGCACACACGUGUGGUGUAAUUCACGCGCGGGUGGGCGCGUGCUCCGAUGCCGUGCGUGCACGCACACACGUGUGAGCACACACGGCCGUGGCGUGGUCGGGUAGGAGGAGUCCCUGGAGACCGUAGAACCAUAGAAUGGUCGGGUGGGAAGAGAGCUGGCCGUGGGUCCGUUUGCCCAGGGACACCACCUUCAGAGCAGCCCUCGUAAAAGUGGAGAAGAAAUCACUGCUGGACAUUUGGACGUGCUAAAAUGCCAUUAAAAAAGACGGACAGAAAUUUGUCGAGGGCAGAGGCUCGGUGCUGCAGCCGGCGCUGCUGGGUUGCCCAGCACUCCUUGCCACCUGACUUGGUCCUGCAGCGGUGCCCGGAGAGCAGCUGUCGCCAAAGGGAGCCUUCUGGGGACCCUGAGACCCAAGAUCUGGACAAAGGAGCCCUGCCAGGACCGGCCUCGGCCUGCUGCUUGGAG
rnacentral:lncRNA from 1 species